AGAAAUGCAGAAGCAGAUGGUACUGCUGAACCAAAUGUGUGAAAGGCUAGUAACUCAUAGAUGCAUAUAAUUUUUAGAGUUGGAAGAGACCAAGGAGUUAAAUUCAUCUAACUCCCAUUCUAUAAGUAUUUCAGAUGACUGCAGUUGUGUCCUCAUCAUCAAUCUCUAAAUGAAGUUACUUGAAGCAAUUCUUGAAACCAUAAUAAUAAUGUCUCCAGAAUUGGUGGAUUCUUGGUCUCACUGACUUCAAGAAUGAAGCCACGGACCCUCGCGAAGGACUUUGGACAACAAUUUCUUUGACUGAAACUGGGGUCAGAGUUGCAGACUCCCUGGAACAUGAAAAGUCAAUAAUCUAGUUCCCAAAAGGCAGACAAGAAACUAUUCCCAAGAUGAACAAAUGAUGAGAAUAGAGGUAAAGGUGAAAAUGAUGUGCUGUCAGCUGUGAAAUGAGAAAGCCUUCCAUCAGACCCUGGAAAAGAUGUAAAGAGCUGUACUUCAGAAAAAUAUUGGAGAAAAGUACAAAUCUUAAAAAAAUUUUUUUGAGUAGUGCAUUUCAUCAGCAGAUGCUGUCAAUUUUGUUAUACUGGUAACAGAUAUCUAUGGAAAAUGAAAUUCUCAACAGCACAUUGCCAGCAUGUUCCCCCACAAAAACAGCCAUGGUUAAAUAAAAUAGAAAUUCUUGCACAUGAUUAGAAAUUUGCAAAAGAGAUUAAAUGUGGCAUUGAUAUAAUAAAGCCUUUGAUUAACUAACAAAACUUCAUCAGGUAUCUAAAAGAGCUGUUUGAAUUUCUAACCAAGUCAGAACACCAGCUAUUACACUCCUUAAAACAAUUAUGCCCCAAAUUAACAUCUUAUAUGCAAAAACAUUUUGUCUGUUUUGAAGACUAACAAAGACUGGAAAAGCAUGAGAAAGAUGAGUAGUUAUCACUUCAAUAGUGUUUGGAUUAUUGAGUUAUGGUUAAUUGAUGGUCUUUAAUAGGAUUUACAAAGCUAGUAUCAUAGACGGUCAGGGAAAUCCUCUUUCCAAACAUUAUAUAGUUAAGUCACAGAAGAUGCUGUGGAAAAUAGACCCAAAUAGUGCCUAUAAGUAUAGUUGGUAUGAAUUGAAGCACUACAAGCAGUGAUAGAGCUGUGUGGAAGACAGAAGACAAACAUCACACUUUUAAGUUUGCCGAUCUACCCUGGAAUAAAUUGAUGUUACAAUCCUUGAUGUUUGUAUUUCUGCUCUGUUGCUCUAAGUGAGAAUAUAGGAUGUACUUUGAGAGAUUACAGUAAGUUGUAGGAGUUCCUCACUCAUAUAAAUGGAUUGAACAGGGCCAGGUGCGGUGGCUCAUGCCUGUAACCCUGGCACUUUGGGAGGAUGAGGUGGGAGGAUUGCCUGAGCUCAGGAGUUCAAGGCCAGCCUAGGAAACAUGGGAAGACCCUGUCUCUAUGAAUGAAUGAAUAAUAAACAGAUUUAAUGAAUUCUGGA
rnacentral:lncRNA from 1 species